rnacentral:SRP_RNA from 1 species
GCCGGGCAUGGUGGCACAUGCCUGUAAUCCCAGCUACUCGGGAGGCUGAGGCAGGAGAAUUGCUUGAAUCCGGGAGGCGGAGAUUGCAGUGAGCCGAGAUCGCGCCACUGCACUCCAGCCUGGGUGACAGAGCGAGACCCUGUCUCAA